rnacentral:rRNA from 1 species
GAUGAACGCUGGCGGCGUGCUUAACACAUGCAAGUCGAACAGACGCUUUGUAGCAAUACGGAGUGUUAGUGGCAAACGGGUGAGUAACACGUGGGUGACCUGCCUCAAAGUGGGGAACAACAGACCGAAAGGUUUGCUAAUACCGCAUAGGCUCGGCGAUUCAAUUUGCCGAGUAAAACCGCAAGGUGCUUUGAGAGGGGCCCGCGGCCCAUCAGGUAGUUGGUGAGGUAAUGGCCCACCAAGCCGAUGACGGGUAGCUGGUCUGAGAGGACGAUCAGCCACAAUGGAACUGAGACACGGUCCAUACUCCUACGGGAGGCAGCAGUGGGGAAUAUUGCGCAAUGGAGGAAACUCUGACGCAGCGACGCCGCGUGGGCGACGAAGGCCUUCGGGUCGUAAAGCCCUUUUGGCAGGGACGAGUGAGGACGGUACCUGCUGAAUAAGUCUCGGCUAACUACGUGCCAGCAGCCGCGGUAAUAC